ACACGUCUACAUUAGACUACCCGGUAGUCCCAGCCGUAAACUAUGCGCGUUAGGUGUAUCGGUGACCACGAGUCACCGAGGUGCCGAAGGGAAACCGUGAAACGUGCCGCCUGGGAAGUACGGUCGCAAGGCUGAAACUUAAAGGAAUUGGCGGGGAGCACCACAACGGGUGGAGCCUGCGGUUUAAUUGGACUCAACGCCGGGAAGAUCACCGGAUAAGACAGCGGAAUGAUUGCCGGGCUGAAGACUCUGCAUGACUAGCUG
rnacentral:rRNA from 1 species